GCAGGGAGUAGUUUAAGUAGAAUAUCAGCUUUGGGUGCUGAGGGUGAGGCUGUGUGUCUUCUCCUUG
rnacentral:tRNA from 1 species